rnacentral:rRNA from 1 species
CGGACGGGUGAGUAAUACUUAGGAAUCUGCCCAGUAUGGGGGACAACACGAGGAAACUCGUGCUAAUACCGCAUACGCCCUAAGGGGGAAAGUGGAGGAUCUUCGGACUUCACGCUAUUGGAUGAGCCUAAGGCGGAUUAGCUUGUUGGUGAGGUAAAGGCUCACCAAGGCAACUAUCCGUAGCUGGUCUGAGAGGACAAUCAGCCACACUGGGACUGAGACACGGCCCAG